GCAAACUUGGUCAUUUAGAGGAAGUAAAAGUCGUAACAAGGUUUCCGUAGGUGAACCUGCGGAAGGAUCAUUAUUGAAUAAACUUGGUUGGGUUGAUGCUGGCUCUUAGGAGCAUGUGCACGCUCACUCCAUUUUUAACCACCUGUGCACCUUGUGUAGAUCUGGACAACUCUCGAGGAAACUCGGUUAGAGAAUUGCUGUGUGUAAAAACCAGCUUUUCUUGAGUUCAGAUCUAUGUUUUUAUAUACACCCAAGAAUGUAUUGGAAUGUAAUUGAUAGGCGUCACAGCCUUUAAAAUCAAAUACAACUUUCAACAACGGAUCUCUUGGCUCUCGCAUCGAUGAAGAACGCAGC
rnacentral:misc_RNA from 1 species